AAGUCGUAACAAGGUUUCCGUAGGUGAACCUGCGGAAGGAUCAUUAAAAGUAUAUGGUUAUUCCUUCUGGAAUUAACAUUACAAACCCACUCUGCGUACUUUACCUGUUGCUUCCACAGAGCAUGGCCUUGUGCCAUACGGUGGUGCCCAUUCAGGGCAUUGCCGGUCGUCUCUGUGAAAGGUUUACAUCAAACUAGUUUAUUAAUUGCCUUCUGUCUGAAUGAAUAAAUAUAAAUUUUUAAAA
rnacentral:misc_RNA from 1 species